AGUGCUCUGCCCUUGAUAUAGAGGUUAGUGUUAUGAUUAUGUGUAAACAGGUUACGGUAAGUAGAAUGUCAGAGCCCAUCUAAGAUAUUUCUUUAAAAGGGCAGUAUGCUGAUGGGUGAAUUGCUUAGUGCUUUCGAAAUUUCGCAUAAACACUGACUUCAGAAAAUACCCGUGGUUUAGCAUCCUCAGGACGCCCGAUCAUGUUUCGAGCUCGAGAAGAUUCACGCAUUGGGGACGAGGAAUUCAAGAUGCACUUUCAUCUUCCUCAUAGCGUUAUUGCUGAAAAACUUGAUGGAUUUUACAUUCGUGUGAAGAGACAGAUUCUACAGUAUCAGAGCUGCACAUUAGGACUCUUCCCAGCCAUUGGAUCAAAGAACAAUGCCAACAGAGUGGGAUAUGUUCGAGACAGUAUUUAUUGUGCAAUGGCAGCUUGGGCUCUCUCUCAAGCUUACAGGCGUAUUGACAACGACAAAGGUAGGACACAUGAGCUUGGUCAAGCAAGUGUUAAAUGCAUGAGAGGAAUUUUGUAUUGCUGGAUACGUCAGGCAGAGAAGGUGGAAUUGUUUAAAAGGAAUCAAAGUCCAGAGAAUGCUUUGCAUUCAGCAUUUGACUUGGUUACCGGUGACCCAAUCUUCGGAGACACUGAAUAUGAACAUUUACAGAUUGAUGUUAUUGGUCUGUUUUUGCUAACACUUUCACAGAUGAUUACUUCAGGGCUUCAGGUGGUGUACACCACUGAUGAGGUUAACUUCAUUCAAAAUCUUGUAUUCUAUGUUGAACGAGCCUACCGCACACCAGACUAUGGUAUGUGGGAAAGGGGCAGUAAAUACAACAAUGGAAGCACAGAAAUUCAUGCAAGCUCUAUUGGGAUAGCCAAAGCAGCUCUGGAAGCUGUGAAUGGAUGCAACAUGUUUGGAGAGCAUGGUGCUGCCUGGUCUGUCAUCUUUGCUGACAUUGAUGCACACAACAGAAAUAGAACCAUCUUUGAGACCAUUCUUCCUCGUGAAUCUAACUCUAAGAACACAGAUGCUUCUUUACUGCCUACACUCUGCUGGCCAGCAUUUGCCAUUCAUGAGAACCCCAUCAAAUACAGAGCCAUCAACAAGGUUCUUCGUCGUUUGAAAGGGAAAUUUGGAAUCAAGAGGUUCUUUAGAGAUGGUUAUAAGACUGUGCUGGAGGAUAAAAGCCGUAAAUACUACAAACCAGCAGAGAUCAAGAAUUUUGAUGGCAUUGAGUGUGAAUGGCCACUUUUCUUUGUCUACCUUCUCAUUGACAGUAUUUUCAAGGGAAACAAGGAAGAGCAAGACAUGUACAUGGAGUUAAUCAACCCUCUUCUCUUCAAUUCACAAGAUGGAUGGCUGCUGCCUAUGUAUUAUUAUGUACCCAAAGAUUUAAUUGAGUUGGAGAGGUCACUUGGAAACCAAGAGAGACUACCAUCACCAGAAGGCUCCACAGAUGGAAUCUUCCUAUGGGGGCAAGCUGUAUACCUCAUCAGUCAGAUGCUGUAUGAGGAACUGCUGCUCAUAAACGAGCUGGACGUUGUGAGACGCCAUCUUCCAGCACUAGAGAGACCAAAGUUCAACACUCGUUACUCCACAUUUCAGGGCACUGCACCAGACCUGGUUGUUCAGGUUGUACUUAUUGCAGAGUCUGUAAGGUUGCAGCAGUUAUUAGCAACGUAUGGCAUUCAGACACAAACGCCUCACCAGGUGGAACCAAUUCAAAUAUGGUCACCAAAGGAACUUACAAAAGCUUACUGUAGCCUUGGUUUCAACCAAAAAUUGGGAUUAACAGGUCGUCCCCCACGACCCUUUGGUGUUCUUAGCACCUCAAAGAUAUAUCGAGCUUGUGGAAGAACAGUCAUUUGCUACCCUUUGUUGUUUGAACUGAGCGAUUUUUACCUGGCACAGGACAUGUCUCUUGUAAUGGAUGACUGUAAGAAUGAUAUUGCCUUCCUGUCCAAAUGCUGGAAGCUGUCAGGGCGCCCCACAUGGUGUAUGGUCAUUCGGGAAAAUUACAUCAGGGGACAAAACUUCAAUGAAAUUCUAGACUUGCUGGCACAGUUCAAAAAAGGAUAUGUCAGUGGGGUCCAUGUUAGACUGGGAAAACUUCAGUCAUUCCUGUCCACUGCCUGUACGGAGCACCUGGACUUCCUUAACUCACUACCAGAUACUGACAGCUUUCAGCCCUUUCAAGAAAAGGCUGUCAAGUCAAGCUUCAGGUCACUGACAGAUAUACCAAACAUUGUUGUUUAUGAAGAUGAUUAUUUUCUGGAUGAGAAGGAUGUUCAGUUCAAGUCUACACCUGAGCUGGUGAUGUACUUCAAAUCACUGAAUGGUGUUAUUAAUGCCGCCACAAUCCUAAAAGUUCUGUAUGAACGUGAGGGACCUUUCUUUCGGUUUGAUGGAACUACAGUUGGUGAAUGUUUAGAGAGACUCAUUACAAGAGCAGGUGUGCAGAAGAAGUGGUCUGUUGUGCGCUUGUGUUCAGCACUUCUUGGAAAGCUGGUUGACAGUUUGGCACCAUCUAUCACCACUGUUCUUGUACGAGGAAAACAGAUUACAGUAGGUGUGUUUGGUCAUGAGGAGGAAGUUUUGGACAAACCUGUGAGCCCUAAUGAAUUAAAAGCUAUCUUGUACCGCCAGUGCCUGCCAUAUGACAUUCGGCAGGCUGUGCUUCAGCAAGAACUUAUUCUCGCCAUCGGUGGUCUUAUUGCAAUUCACUCGGAGCUGUUUGAUGGCAUUCUCAAAAUUCGGAUUGGGUGGAUAGUGAGAGCCAUGCAGGUAGAGAUGGAACAAGAGAAGGGGCAACAUGUUGAUAUCUACGCUUUCUCUCCGAACCAGGUCAAAGAGCAGCUGUACAAAGUGCUGACUCGCAACAUAUUAGAAGCUCACCAAAGGACCCCACUUCAGAAACGGCAGCUGGAGGGUGCUUUAAACCGUGUUCCAAAAGACUUUUAUAACAGAGUCUGGGAGAUACUGGAGAAGACACCUGGUGGAAUCAAGGUAGCAGGGUACCUUCUUCCCCAGCAACCCACACAGUCUGACAUGACUAUGUAUGAAAUGAACUUCUCUCUGCUGGUUGAGCAGAUGUUGAGUAAAAUUCCUGACCCUACCUACAGGCAGUUGAUGGUGGAGACUUUCAUGGUGGUUUCAACCAUUUUGGAGCGCAAUCCUGAGCUUGUGUUUCAUCAGUCACUUAACAUGGAUAUGAUCAUCCGUGAAGCAUAUGAUGACUUUCAAAAAGACCUGGGUCAGAUAGAAGGAAGAGAAAAACAAGAUGACAUGCAUCGCUUUUUCAACACCCCUCCAAACACCCAACAUGGCACCACAGGCUAUAUAGCCAAGGCUGUUGUGAAGAAUCUUUUGGAUGGAGAUCUGCGCCAUGUGGCUGAAGACAUGUGCUGUCUCUCAUGAGUUCUUUUAAAUUUUCUUGUGUUGUGUAUUAAUUUUUUUUGUGAGACUUUCGAGAUGUUUGUUACAAGAAGUGUGUUACUUGUAUAUAAUGUUUUAUACAGCAAGUGCAUUAACUGUACAUACUAUUACAAGAUAUAUAGGAAAACUCAGGUUUGCAAAUUGUUUCAUACUCAAAUAUUUAUAAAUUUCAUUCUUUUGCUAAGGCUGGAUAUUUGUGCACUAAUGUAUUUCAUCUUUAGGACUUUUUUUAAUGGAACAUUCAUAAUAAGCAAAUGCUUAUAAACUGUAUACAUUUUAAUAUUUAAUUUUUUUUUAACCUUUUCUUUCUUUAAAAGUGAUCAUGGCUUCAGAAAGAAAACAAAAUAAGUCAUCAGUUUUUAAAGAAGUUAGUUUACCAAAUGAUUGUAUACCCACUUCUGUUUGAUUUACUGUCAGAAAACAAUUUCAGAAGUUCACAUGCAUGCAUUGAGUUGUGUUUUUGUUCUGAAUUUUAUUUAUUUUUCUUUAAUUAUUUUAAAUUGCACUGGACAGUUGUACCCCAUUAUCCAAAUGCAACUUGUGGAAAAUAGGUUUAAUAGAAGGAGCCACAUUUCCAUUUUUAUGGCACCACUCAUUAUGCUAAGAGCUAUGGUAUGCAGUAGCAUCAAAUCCAGUAGGAAGAGUUUGUAAUGGGGUGUGACUGUAUUUUAUUUUGCUACUAGAUAUUGCGUGAUUUUUAAUUCAACAAUAUUUCCUUGUAAAUGUAUUGGUUACUUCUAAUGAUGCAUUAAGAAGUGAUUAAACAUUAUAUAACUCUACUUGCAAUCCCUGUUAGUGUGGUACACAGUACAUAUCUGUAGCUUGAUGCCCAUGGAAUGUAUUUAAGAUGUUUUUUUUAGGACAGGCAAAAGAAUAAAAAGACUAUUUCUUUAACUUGUAACAUUUGUAGCGGCAGUGUAUGGUGACUGUUGCUUAAAAAGGCAAUGGUGUGAUAAUGCAAAAAAAAAAAAAAAAAAAAAAAGACAUUGUAACAUGCUGAAAAUUAAUUAAACUCUUAAAUAUCAGACUCAGUAGUGAUGCUUGUAGGAAAUAGCAUUUAUUGUUUUGGAUGAUAUAUCCAGAUUCAUACACUUCAAAGAUAAACAUUAUACACAAGUGACUGUUCUUCAAAUUUUUUAACACAAUGUACCUUAUUGUGUCUGUUGAUCAUAUUUCAUAUCGUAUUGUAAAUGUUUAGUUUCAGAUGAGACUUUGCUCCGUCCUAUGUUGGCUGUUGGAACAAUAAAAUGUUCUAGCAUAUUUUAGGAUAUUAUAAUAACAUAGCAGAAAAGUAAGCUCACUUGUUUGGAAAAAAAAAAGCUCAACUAAAAAAGCAGUGGCAAAUAUAAAUUCUCAUAUCUCAUGUUUCUCUACAGUGUGGGGGCAUUCUUGCAACAGAUGAAUAUUCGUGGACAAGCUAGUCAGGAAUCUUUCAUUUUGAAGGUCACAAAUUUGUGUUAAAAUUAUUCCUGAUUUUACUUUGUUGUGUCAUGCUACAGUUUACUAUUAGAUGCAAUUAUAUUUUGUGUUUCUGUUUAUUGUUCUGGCCAGUUUUGUUGAUUUUGAGCCUGUUUGCACAUGCUUGUGUUUCCUACUGUUUUUAAUUUUCCUUGUUGUGUUCUUAAAAUUUCCACAAUGCUAGUAUUUUGAAUUAUAUUGUGUAGUGAUAAUGAUGUGUCCUUUGGUAUUUUGUUUCUUCCUGAAGUUUCAGAGGUGUUUGUAUUGUUUCAUCCUGAAAGUUUCCAUGGUUUUGUAGUGUCCACUUUGCACGUAUCUUCUUAUAACCAAUGUUUUUAUUCAGAAUAAUAAUAGGAUUUGUAUAAUGCAUUUCCCCACAUAAAGGCAAGCUCAAUAUGCUUCACAAGAGACCAGAGUAGUGGAGAAAGAGUCCAUGUGAUGUAGACGUCACAGUUGAGUACAAACAAGCACAAUAUAGACAAAAAUGCACCAGUUAGCAAUGCAGGAACUUGAAGGAAUGCAGAUAAAGGACGACAGGAUGAAUGAGUUAUAGUUGGUGUUUCUGAAAGAGAUAUGUUUGAAGUUUGCAUUGGAAGGUAUGUAUUGACUCCGUUGUGCAGAAAGAUCAAGGCAGGUCAUUCCAAAUGCUAGGGCAAGAAAAAGAGAAAGAGCGAUGGCUGAACGUCUCCAGUUUGAUACAUGGAUACAGAGAAACCUGACUAGGGCUGAGUGAACUGACCUGCGAGGCUGACAUGGCAGCACAAGUUCUGCAGAUAUAAUAAUAAGCAUUAUUCUCAUCAAAGUCUUCCCAACACAAGUUUUUAUUUCAUUUGCAUAUAACUCUGUAUAUACUAAGAGGUAUCUUAAGGUUUUCCUUUUCUCUUUGACAAAUAUGUCCAGAGGAUGUAGUGGCGUGGCAAGAGACUUGGAAAAAUUGUAAGGAAGGUAAAACUUCAGCUUUCACAAUUUUUUUAGGCAACAUCUUUUUUGCAGCAUUCAUUCUGGCAUGACUUUGAAAAAGGAUGAAAUCAUCUUUGUUGACUAGCACUGGCUGUAUUUUAUGACUCCACUGCACAAGGCAUGGAACAUCAAGAUUCACAUCGCCAUAUCUGAAUGUAACAAACCAUUUCUAUCCUUUUUUUGCCAGUGCCAAGAGGUUAUAACAAUCUGUAUAUUAUUACAGUCUUCCUCCAUCACAUUAUGUCCCAGUUUGAAUUUGUAUGGAGCCACAAAAAGUCCAACAUCAUUGGAGGUUUUUUUCCCUCCAUUUGUCUGACCCAUACAGGAUGAUGUUAGAUUUAGCACUGUCACCGAUAUAUAAAAUGGACAGCUGGAGGUCUGUUAAGGCCAAUAUUUUUAGCCACUCACAGGAUGAGAGGGAACUAAUGGUAAAGAUCUAUUUAAGGAAAUAGAGAUGUAAUUCAUCUGAAAACUUAGAUGUUAUUGUGUUCCACUUCUAUUACAGAUAGCCUUUGAUGUUGUCUCAAGGCUCAGUUCAGACAAGACGUAACGAUGACGUGAAAAGCUGGCGUGGAAGGAGAAUCAUGUGAUCUUACAGGAGUGACAGUUGAAAAAAAGAAAUAUAUGAUUUUGAUUAGUCAUUUUUUUUAGUUAAAAUGAAGACAGAUUAAUGAGCUUGUGUAAUAUUUUCUUAGGUCAUCAUAGUGCAGUGCAAAGGCCAGUCACAACAGAGAUGAAUGCUGUUGAUUCUACUGUACUCUCAUCCCCAUUCUUUAAAUGUACUGAUCUAAAUCAACUGCUUUAUUAUUAAUUUAAUAAUGUUCUAAUUAUAGUCAAAAUAAAUUUAGUGAAUACAAAAAA
rnacentral:misc_RNA from 1 species